rnacentral:lncRNA from 1 species
CAGUGAUUCAUCAUCAUAAAGAACACUGGAACCCGCAAAGAGAAAUCAAGCAGCUCUGGUGAAAAUACUACUAGGAAGCAGAAUUGCUUCCUGUUUCUGUUAGCAAAUUUGUAGACUGUCAUAUUUCAAGCAGCAAAGCACUAUUCAUUUUCUUAGCAAAAUUAAGCUCCUGUGUAUGAAAAGAGCAACUAAAUUUAAAUACGCUCAUGCCUUCUGAAACUAACAUAUGGUUUCUUCUCUAUGAGAAUUCAGUGACCAAUUUUUUUUAAAGGGUCUUAUUCACAUUCUCUAUUCCUUCACCCAUGAUUUUCCCCAUAAAACAUGUUCUGUUGACACAAAAGAUUGUUAGUGAAAUAUUUACUUCACGAGCAAAUGCUUUGUAGGUUGAAGCAUCUUAUGCUUGUUUGAUUACAUAAAAGUGAACCAAACAGACAACCAUUAACUCAUUACAUUAUGGCCCUAAAAAUGUAUGUUCUCAUAUACUGCAUACUCUAAUCCUGAAAUUUUUAAGGAAGAUCUAUGUACCCAAUUCCUGUUGGACAGGACAGCCUGUAAAAGGGACUGGUCCCUCAAAAUGCUCUUACACACAAACAAAUUGCAACAGGUUACAAAAGUUGACCCAGGAAUCUCACCUCUGUCUUGCUAGAUACACAGCGAGCAGCACAACAGAGUCUUGCUCUCAACUGUGGCCCCACAGUUCUACUGUAAUAAUAAUAAUAAUUACUGAUGAAAACUACAUCACUGUUUUUCCUAAAUUACAGGUCAGGUAUCCAGUGCCCUGCUCACAUUCCAGAAAGUUUCCUGUGUUGCUGUGAACCAUCUCAUGGUAUUCCAGCUAGAACAGAACAACUUACCUUGGCUUAAAUGCUGCAAAAUUAACAGCUAAGAGAAUAAUCUUUAUAUUUAAUAUCAUGUCUUUGAAUCUUCAUAAAAGGUGCUCAAUCUUUGCUUUCUACUCUUGGCCUUUCUGCAGAUAUUCUAGUCAGUAAUGUGGCUGCUCAUAUCAAUGACACUUUUCUUAUUGAAUUUUGCAAUAAAUUAAAAAUUGAGGUGAAUUUUUGAGGAGAC